GGUCUUUUCUUAGUAUAACUAAAUAAACUUGACUUUGGAUGUGUGCGAGAUAUCGGGCUAGAUUUGGUCACGUGAGGCUGGCCAGGAUUGCCAGUACACGAAAAUUCAAAAUCCGCAUGUACGGAGCUGCUGAGACCAAGCGAGCCAAAAGACGAUUAGUCAGUCACCAACCACCUAUCCGAAAGGACCACACCAUUUCUUAUAUCUUAUACACAAACUGAUUAUCCCGUUGCCGAGUAGUCUGGAGGACAGGAGAUAUUCGUGAGCAAGAAGAAGGAACCUGGCCUACAAAGAAGACCCCGGGGUUCCCAGUAGCUCUGUGUUGUUUUGUUUUGUCCCUUUUAUUAUUUAUACAUAUUUAUUUCGUUC
rnacentral:lncRNA from 1 species